UGUCUACAACACCUGGGAUUCCCAGGCCGUCUCCGAUCCAAGUACUAACCAGGCCCAACGUUGCUUAACUUGACAGAUCGGACGAGAUGUC
rnacentral:rRNA from 1 species